rnacentral:rRNA from 1 species
UACGUAGGGUGCGAGCGUUAAUCGGAAUUACUGGGCGUAAAGCGUGCGCAGGCGGUGCUGUAAGACCGAUGUGAAAUCCCCGGGCUUAACCUGGGAAUGGCGUUUGGGACUGGAAGUCUGGAGUGCGGCAGAGGAGACUGGAAUUCCUGGUGUAGCAGUGAAAUGCGUAGAUAUCGAGGAGGAACACCGAUGGCGAAGGCAGGUCGUCUGGGCUGACACUGACGCUCAUGCACGAAAGGCGUGGGGAGCAAACAGG